rnacentral:rRNA from 1 species
UACAGAGGGGGCAAGCGUUGUUCGGAAUUACUGGGCGUAAAGGGCUCGUAGGUUGCCAACUAAGUCAGACGUGAAAUCCCUCGGCUUAACCGGGGAACUGCGUCUGAUACUGGAUGGCUUGAGUUCGGGAGAGGGAUGCGGAAUUCCAGGUGUAGCGGUGAAAUGCGUAGAUAUCUGGAGGAACACCGGUGGCGAAGGCGGCAUCCUGGACCGACACUGACACUGAGGAGCGAAAGCCAGGGGAGCAAACGGG